CGCUCUCUUUCUCUUCUCCUUCCCCUAUUCCCCCUGUUUCUCUGAAUCUCCCUAACCUCUUUGAAUCUCUUUCUCUUCUCCUUCCCGUUUCUCCUUCCCCUUCUGUUUCUCCUUCCCCUUAUUUCUCGUCUUUCUCGCCUUUUUGGGGUAAUUCAGAUCCGUAUUUUUUUGGGGUUUUUGGGGUACGAAUUGCGGAAAGAAGGGGGCGAAAUACGAGGCCAGAGGUUAAGUUAAGUUAUUUUUUGUCUUUAAUAUUUCAUUCGGUUAUUAGAUUUUGUCAAAUAAUUUUACAGUUUUUUUGGUCAAAAUUGGGAAAAAUCGAACAAAAAAACCCUAAAUUUCGAAUUUGGGAGUUUUCAAUUCGGUCCAUUAUUCUUGAAAUUGUUUGUUCCAUGUUGUUAUGCUAUGUUUAAGGAGUGUUUUGCAACAAAUUUCAUGAAAAAUGGUUAAGUAUUAAACCUUGUAUGAGCAUGUCUUUGUUCGAGUUCGUUCUUUGUAUAAAUGGUUAGGUUUAUUUGUUAUUGUGGGUUGUUUGUUGAAAUUCCGAUGAGGCUAAGCUCAAGGUUAAAUUCUAUGUCCCUCCUUUCCUUCCCAUCAUCCCUGUUGUUGGCGACUAUUGGAUUCUCUUCCUCGACGACGAUUAUCAGUAUGCCUUGAUUGGCCAGCCUUCUCGCCGAUAUCUCUGGGCUGCCAACUAUCUGAAUAUUAAGAGCUUGCUGGACUUGACAUGUCAAACUGUUGCUGUCAAACUGUUGCUGGACUUUAUUUAUGUACUUUUCAUUUACCUUCUCAUGUCUAGGUGAAUGUUAAUCAGUCUUGUGUUUUGGGAUCUUUGGAUCCAUACAUGGGGUGCGAGUUGUGUGUUUGCAUUGGUGAAGUCAGGUCCUGGUUCGAAUGAGGGGAAAAUUGACCCUCCACCGGUGACGAUUUCUGAACCCUUAUCUUUAUUGAUUAUUUUUUGGUUGCAUUGAGAAGGAGGUUUGUAUGUACUUGUUUGGUUGCCAGUAACAUUAGUUGUUGGCCAGGGGGUGUGUGAAUUUUGUUGUUGGUAUUUGAUUUGCUAGACUAAUUUGUUGUGCUUGAUUUGGUUGCCAAUAACAUGCUUUGUGAGUACAUGCUUUGUGACUCCCUGUUGGGGUUGUGGUGGUUGAUUUUGCAAUAUAGUGAGUCCCUUUGCCGUGGUCUGAUUUUGCAAUAUAGAGUCCCUAAGAUCUCAAUGAUUUAAUUUGAGAGAUCAUUCUUGUUACUAAAUCUAAAUGAUGAAGGGACUCAGCUGAUUUUGAAAUGGCUUGUUUGAUUUGCUCCAAUUAUAACAUUGUUGAGGUAACAAACAGGAUUUCAUUUCUUGUGAUCAAAUUACAAUCUCUCUGAUGGAUUUAAGAUGUCACUCAUGAUUGGUUCAAUGUGUACACAAACCUCAAGCCUUCAAAAAUAUGAGCUUUGUCCUUUGCCAUCCGGUUCUCCAUGGUUGACUGAUUUCCUUUAAUUUUUUAUUUUUAUUUUUGCUGUCAAUAUCCUAUCUUUACUUGCUGCUACGCUUGUUCUGUCUCUGUGCUGCUGUGCUACUUUGGUGCAGCUGUAUGUGACUGAUGAUGCUGACAGUGCUGCUGUGAGAAGCUGGUUAGGCUUGUUGGAUGAUUGUGCUGCUGUAAUUCUGCUGCCUAGUGCCAAGAACUGAUCCCUGUUAGCUGCUGCCUCUGUUUACUGCCUGCCAGGUGCUAUGCUGGCUGUCUGAAGCUAAAACCCCACACCCUGCUGUGAUUGGUUUUUGGUGCUGCUGCCCUACUUUUUGUCUGGUACGCAGAGGAUUUGUUUGAGCUCUGGCUUUCCGGUUUGCUGUUGUCACUGCUGCUGCUGUUACUGCUAUCCCUGCUGCUACUGUCCCUGCUUGCUGUCGCUGCUUUUCUUUGCCUGCUGAUGCUGUCUGCUUGCUGCUGCUGCUGAUUCUGGAGGUUUCUGCCCUGCUGCUGUUAUUCUUUCUUUUUUUUCUGGUUUGUUGCUGUUUGUAACCUCCAAGUUUGGAGGGGUUUGUAUUUUUUUCACGUAGCGUAUUUAUUUGUGUAUGAGGACACGGUGCGGCUGUACUUUAUGAGGGCUUGCCCUUUUUUCUUUUAGUAAUAAUAUCCCUUUCUUACCUACCAAAAAAAAAAA